rnacentral:tRNA from 1 species
GAAGGCAUAGCUCAAUUAGCAGAGCAGGUGCGUCACGUGCACCAGGUCGAAGGCGCGAUUCCUUCUGCCCUCACCA